rnacentral:rRNA from 1 species
UACCAGCACCCCGAGUGGUCGGGACGAUUAUUGGGCCUAAAGCAUCCGUAGCCGGUUUUACAAGUCCCCCGUUAAAUCCAGCUGCUUAACAGAUGGGUUGCGGAGGAUACUAUAAGACUAGGAGGCAGGAGAGGCAAGCGGUACUCAGUGGGUAGGGGUAAAAUCCGUUGAUCCAUUGAAGACCACCAGUGGCGAAGGCGGCUUGCCAGAAUGCGCUCGACGGUGAGGGAUGAAAGCUGGGGGAGCAAACCGG